UACGUAGGGUGCGAGCGUUAAUCGGAAUUACUGGGCGUAAAGCGUGCGCAGGCGGUUUUGUAAGCCAGAUGUGAAAUCCCCGGGCUUAACCUGGGAAUGGCAUUUGGGACUGCAAGGCUGGAGUGUGGCAGAGGAGACUGGAAUUCCCGGUGUAGCGGUGAAAUGUGUAGAGAUCGGGAGGAACACCGGUGGCGAAGGCGGGUCUCUGGGCAAUUCCUGACGCUGAGGCGCGAAAGCGUGGGGAGCAAACGGG
rnacentral:rRNA from 1 species